GUGGGGAAUAUUGCACAAUGGGCGCAAGCCUGAUGCAGCGACGCCGCGUGAGGGAUGGAGGCCUUCGGGUUGUAAACCUCUUUUAUCGGGGAGCAAGCGAGAGUGAGUUUACCCGUUGAAUAAGCACCGGCUAACUACGUGCCAGCAGCCGCGGUAAUACGUAGGGUGCAAGCGUUAUCCGGAAUUAUUGGGCGUAAAGGGCUCGUAGGCGGUUCGUCGCGUCCGGUGUGAAAGUCCAUCGCUUAACGGUGGAUCCGCGCCGGGUACGGGCGGGCUUGAGUGCGGUAGGGGAGACUGGAAUUCCCGGUGUAACGGUGGAAUGUGUAGAUAUCGGGAAGAACACCAAUGGCGAAGGCAGGUCUCUGGGCCGUUACUGACGCUGAGGAGCGAAAGCGUGGGGAGCGAACAGGAUUAGAAACCCGGGUAGUCC
rnacentral:rRNA from 1 species